UGCAUAUCAAUAAGCGGAGGAAAAGAAACCAACAGGGAUUGCCUCAGUAACGGCGAGUGAAGCGGCAACAGCUCAAAUUUGAAAUCCGGCUCUUUUAGGGUCCGAGUUGUAAUUUGUAGAGGAUGCUUCGGCGUCGGCUCCGGUCUAAGUUCCUUGGAACAGGACGUCAUAGAGGGUGAGAAUCCCGUAUGUGAUCGGUUGCCCUUGCCAUGUGAAGCUCCUUCGACGAGUCGAGUUGUUUGGGAAUGCAGCUCUAAAUGGGAGGUAAAUUUCUUCUAAAGCUAAAUACUGGCCAGAGACCGAUAGCGCACAAGUAGAGUGAUCGAAAGAUGAAAAGCACUUUGGAAAGAGAGUCAAAAAGUACGUGAAAUUGUUGAAAGGGAAGCGCUUGCAACCAGACCUGCCUGCAGUUGCUCAUCCGGGCUUUCGCCCGGUGCACUCUCCUGCUGUCAGGCCAGCAUCAGUCCGGGCGGUCGGAUAAAGGCUUCGGGAAUGUAGCUCCUCUCGAGGAGCGUUAUAGCCCGUUGCGAAAUGCGGCCAGCCUGAACUGAGGUCCGCGCUUCGGCUAGGAUGCUGGCGUAAUGGUUGUAAGCGGCCCGUCUUGAAACACGGACCA
rnacentral:rRNA from 1 species